UGGAUCCUGUUCCUGGCUUGUCUACUAAAGUCCUUUACUUGCAACACCUGUGAACUGACAGGUUGUGGCAAGUUCCACCUGCAGCAGGAGGAGUCAGAAUCCACAUUCAACUUUCCACUUGACCCCCGUUCAGUUCAGUUCAGUUCAGUUCAGUUGACACGGUUUCUAGUAACUUCCAAGCAUGGUGCUAGGUGCAGAGCCUGUACCAGGCAGCCCAGCUCCCGACCCUCCAACGGGACUUAGGACCUUCUCGAACCCUUUGCGUUCCCACCGUCGUUCUCGAUUGCGGUGUAGACGUGGCUCCGUCCUUCUCUGUGAUGUCCUUUUAGGAGGGAAAUGAAUGAAGGGAAGAAAAUCAAUAAGGGAUACAGCUCUGCGUACAGCCAUGACAGGAGCUGUGCACAGUGUGUCAAGGAGCCUGAGGUGCGCUCAUUAAUUCUGACUCGGAGUGAGCCGGAUGACACAAGAAAAGGGAUUCAAUCCAAGUGAAGGAAGUCCUUUAAAAUCCUUCACGUAAAACAAAACAAACG
rnacentral:lncRNA from 1 species